rnacentral:rRNA from 1 species
UACGGAAGGGGCGAGCGUUGUCCGGAUUUAUUGGGCGUAAAGAGCGUGUAGGCGGCCAGGUAGGUCCGUUGUGAAAACUAGAGGCUUAACCUCUAGACGUCGAUGGAAACCAUCUGGCUAGAGUCCGGAAGAGGAGAGUGGAAUUCCUGGUGUAGCGGUGAAAUGCGCAGAUAUCAGGAAGAACACCCGUGGCGAAGGCGGCUCUCUGGGACGGUACUGACGCUGAGACGCGAAAGCGUGGGGAGCGAACAGG